rnacentral:rRNA from 1 species
AUUGAACGCUGGCGGCAGGCCUAACACAUGCAAGUCGAACGGUAACAGGAAACAGCUUGCUGUUUCGCUGACGAGUGGCGGACGGGUGAGUAAUGUCUGGGAAACUGCCUGAUGGAGGGGGAUAACUACUGGAAACGGUAGCUAAUACCGCAUAACGUCGCAAGACCAAAGAGGGGGACCUUCGGGCCUCUUGCCAUCGGAUGUGCCCAGAUGGGAUUAGCUAGUAGGUGGGGUAACGGCUCACCUAGGCGACGAUGCCUAGCUGGUCUGAGAGGAUGACCAGCCACACUGGAACUGAGACACGGUCCAGACUCCUACGGGAGGCAGCAGUGGGGAAUAUUGCGCAAUGGGCGCAAGCCUGAUGCAGCCAUGCCGCGUGUAUGAAGAAGGCCUUCGGGUUGUAAAGUACUUUCAGCGGGGAGGAAGGGAUUAAAGUUAAUACCUUUACUCAUUGACGUUACCCGCAGAAGAAGCACCGGCUAACUCCGUG